rnacentral:rRNA from 1 species
CACGUAGGCGGUCCGUUAAGUCGGAUGUGAAAUCCCUCGGCUCAACUGAGGAAGUGCAUCCGAAACUGGCGGGCUGGAGUACGAAAGAGGGUCGCGGAAUUCCCGGUGUAGAGGUGAAAUUCGUAGAUAUCGGGAGGAACACCGGUGGCGAAGGCGGCGACCUGGGUCGAUACUGACGCUGAGGUGCGAAAGCGUGGGGAGCAAACA